rnacentral:rRNA from 1 species
GCACGCCUGUUUGAGGGAUGGUAC